rnacentral:lncRNA from 1 species
CCAGGCAUCACUUGCAGACAUUGUCUCCCAGGGUUAUGUGGUUUUUAUAUCUUGAGAUGAUUUAGCCUCAACAGAUAUUUUUUAUUGUUAGCUUUCUGGGAAGCAAGACAGAUGGGGUUCCAUAGUUUCAAUCGGCAAAGUUGGUGGGUGCUUAGGAAGCCAGGAGCAGUGACACCAUCUGAAUUUCCGGGACAGUGACUUAAAAAGACAAGUGGGCAAAUGGCCAAUAUUCUCUCCGACCUAAUAGCAGGAAAAGGUGUGGCCUUCACCCAGGUAACACUACAAAGCACCUCCCCAGCAGAAGUAUUUUGAAACUGAAGAGAAACAGGAAAAUUUCAACCAAUCCCGGGAGGAUUUUCAAGGUACCAAGGAAAACUGAAGAAGCCCCCCCCCCAACUUGCUAAGCCUGAUUUCCCGUUAAAAACACAGUUUAUUCAGAAAGCAAGAAGUGUUGGCAAGUCCACCCGUCAUUCUGAAGCAGUUAGACACUGCAGUAGUGGCUGGAAGAAGAAUCCCCACUCCGAGAAAGCUGGAAAAAGAAAAAAAGAAAAAGGAAAAGAAAAAAGGAAAUGUUUUCUCAAACAUGGCUGUCUCAUACAGGAGAAGGCUGAGAUGAGAGUGCACAGAAAACCCAAGGCUGAUGAGCGUUCCCACGGAGGAAUCUCUGCAAAGCAGAGAAGAGUCACACACUGCACUUGCUCCAGCCUCCCGGUCUUUCCACAUGGCAGCCGUAGAGAGGACAAACAGAACUGAGGGAUCAAAGAACUCCAUUUCCCAACUCCUGGUUCCCAGUUGAUUCUCUUUGCCGGGUUUCCGGUCAUGCUGUUAGGGAACAUGUUCUUUGGAAUCAUAAAGACUUAAUAACAUCACAGAACCCACCCAGGAAAAUGUCUCUAACUCUGAAGAGUGAGCCCUCAAGCCAUCUGAAGUUUGCAGAGAGUCCGUGGGUUUGACAAAACGCAGAAUUUGAACAGGGAGGUUAAGAAGAUGGUGGGCCUACUCUCCGCCUUCCACAAAUAGAGAUGCAGUUUUGACAUCGGGUUUGGCAAUAAAGACCUUGACCUGUGGGCA